rnacentral:tRNA from 1 species
GUCCCCGUAGCUCAGGGGCAGAGCGCCCGCUUCGUAAGCGGGAGGCCGCAGGUUCGAGUCCUGCCGGGGACU